rnacentral:tRNA from 1 species
GCUCCCGUAGUCCAACGGAUAGGACGCAAGCCUCCGGAGCUUGAGAUCGUGGUUCGAUUCCACGCGGGAGCA